CGGGGAAUAUUGCACAAUGGGCGCAAGCCUGAUGCAGCCAUGCCGCGUGUAUGAAGAAGGCCUUCGGGUUGUAAAGUACUUUCAGUCGGGAGGAAGGUGUCAAGGUUAAUAACCUUGGCAAUUGACGUUACCGACAGAAGAAGCACCGGCUAACUCCGUGCCAGCAGCCGCGGUAAUACGGAGGGUGCAAGCGUUAAUCGGAAUUACUGGGCGUAAAGCGCACGCAGGCGGUUGAUUGAGUCAGAUGUGAAAUCCCCGGGCUUAACCCGGGAAUUGCAUCUGAUACUGGUCAGCUAGAGUCUUGUAGGGGGGGGUAGAAUUCCAUGUGUAGCGGUGAAAUGCGUAGAGAUGUGGAGGAAUACCGGUGGCGAAGGCGGCCCCCUGGACAAAGACUGACGCUCAGGUGCGAAAGCGUGGGGAGCAAACAGG
rnacentral:rRNA from 1 species